rnacentral:pre_miRNA from 1 species
UUAACUCAAUUUUGUGUGGAGUUUUAAUGUUUGCUUAGUUUGCCCCUAGGGGCACUGUUCCAGCGGCAUACAAACUUCAGGUA